rnacentral:lncRNA from 1 species
AGGAAAACCGGAUUGCAGCUAGAACCCCUCAGGCAAGGGCUGAUGGUUGGAUGGAGAUGGAGAUGGGGGAAUUCUACAAUGAUGACGGUGAGGAUGGGGAAGUGGAACUGAGUUUGAUGGAGGUGAAAGGAGGGAACUGGAAGUCUGGACUCACCAUCCAAGGCAUUGAGAUAAGGCCUAAGAAGUAGGCAGAAGAGCUCUUUUAUGUAUGGGCGUUUGGAUUGUCUUGACAACUGUAAGUUGAUUAGUCAUUAUAAAUAAACAAGAAACAUGGAAUGCUUUGCAGCUAUGGACAUUCUCAGACAACUAAUUGGAACUUUUAUUUCCUCUAUGUCUCAUUAACUUUUUGCUCAUUGCAGUAUAGAAGACAUGGUUUCUGUUUUCUUUCUUAAAUUUCUCCUUAUGUGAAGACAAAUUACAAGUUGGUUGGAAAUGUGAACCUAUGUUAAACUGCUAGAAUUCAUGCUGUUUGUCAUUGAUGUAUGCAUCUAGAUAUUCGAGUAAUUGUGAUAUCAAGCUUUAGAUGCACAUAUGCCAGGUUCAAAGGGGUUAUAUGUUCAAAUAUUGUGAGGUACUUUCUUGAGUGUUUUGACAUAGAGAUGAUCUUAACAUCAUUUCUUUUGAAAUGAUUGGUGGAACUCCAAGAAUCAUUCUCCCAAAUAAAUCUGUAGUAUAUUAAAAUGAGAGUUUUUAAAUCUGGAAAUGCUUUUUCCUUGAUUCCCUUUGUCUCAUUUUAUACCGGAAAAUAUCUUCCUAUUUUCCUUAAAGCAUAUGUUAGUUGUUUUACUAACUUUCUUGCUCACCUUAAACUACCACGUGCUUUUUCUUCUUUCUUUUCCAAUCAAAUCAGACUCUUAUAGAACUCCUAUAUUGAACUCCAUCUCUUUAUCUGAUUUGAUUCCAAUAUAGAAUUGAACCGGUGUAAACGAGCUGAACACGAAUGAGUUGAGCCUAACUCUAGCUCGGCUUAUUUAAUAAUUGAGUCAAGCUCGAUGGGCUUGUUUAAUAACUGAGUCGAGCUCUCAUAAGUGUAUUAGAGGAUUACUGUUUGGCAUCUGGUUAGAGAAUGAACUUCCACAAGUUCGCAGUCUGUUUCAGUCCGAGCAGUCCGAGCAUGGAGACGCGGGUUCGGCUGGAGAUCCAUGGAUCUUUUUGCUAUGAGGGAGCAAGUGUGGUCCUGGUGUUACUUGGGUGUCCCUAUGUUCGGGAAGAGGCUUCGUGUGUCCCUAUGUCUGAGUGCCUCGAUGUGGUGUAGCACAUCUAGGAGCGGUUGGAGGGUUGGAGAGCGGCUUCUGUAUCCAUGAUGGGUAGGAUGACCCUGGUCAGGUCAGUUUUGUAUUCUAUGCCGAUUUACCUUAUGUCUCAUACUAUAGUUCCGAAGACGGUGCUGGUAAGGAUCGAGCGGCACCUUAGGGGCUUUCUAUGGGGAUCGCUCGGUGGGGGCCGUGGGGUGCAUCUCGUGUCUUGGGAGUCGAUCUGUCAGCCGACCCGCUCUGGCAGUCUAGAAGUGCGGUCUCUCGUGACGCGGAGAGAGGCCUUGAUCGUCCGGCAUGCGGCCAGAUUCGUCCUAGAGCCCUAGAGCUUUUGGAGUUAGGUGAUGGUAGCCCGGUAUGGACCGGUUCGGGUAGGUGAGUUGGUGGUUGGGGGUCGACGCUGCUCCCCCUUGUGGCGGAAAAUCGGUAGGUAUGUGCCUCUUGUAUUGUCUAAUUGUAGGUGGUUUAUUGGCGAUGGAUAGAACGUGGAUGCGAUGGAUGACGCGUGGGUGGACUCGUUGCCGUUGGGGCAGUGGCUGGCCAUGGUCAGUGUCAACGCUCCGGGAGGAUUGCGGGUUUGCGACCUCCUUUUUUCUAGAGGGCUAGGAUGGGAUGCUACCCGCGUGGCCCAGCUGUUUGAAGGUCAGCUUGCUGAGAGGAUCCGGUCGGCACUAGUCCCCGGAUGCGCUAGCCCUGAUGUGAGGGUAUGGAGCUCGUCCUGCAAAUCUUCAAUGAGGGUUGGUGAUGUCUAUAGCCUCCUCCAGAGUGUGCAGCACCCGGGUGUUGACUGUGCGUGGGUUUGGUGCUUUGGUCUACAUUGUAGGGUUGCCCUGUUCCUCUGGAAGAUUGCUUGGGAGCGGCUUCCGACUAGGCUCAUCCUUAGUACAGGGAGCCUAGACAUCCAUCCCCUGUGCCCUUUGUGCCUCGUGGCUGAGUCUAUGGAUCAUGCCUUGUUCCAGUGUCAGCACGCGCGGCGGAUAUAAGAGUGUGCCAUGGUCCCAUCCAGGAUCUGGGGUGAUACAUUUUCAUUUCUGCAGGAGAUCAGUCGAUGGGCGUCUGCCCCACGAUACAAGCAGGCGGCUACUGUGGUGACCUGUAUAACAUACCGGAUCUGGCUAUCCAGGAAUACUUGGACGUUUGGUGAGAGCUGCCCCCCACCGAGGUUCGUCGAAAAGGCUCGAAGCCAGGCAGCUGAGAUGACUCAGUCACAUCUGUUGGAUAGUACCUUGACAGCUCAGGACACCUGGGGCUCCUAUCCUAUUCUUGGAGUGUCUCGCCCGGUGUUCUUCACUUGGGAGCCCCCACCUCCGAGCUUCUUUAAGGUUAAUUUCGACGGAUGUGUACUGGAUGGCUGUAGCAGGGGAGGAGCGGGCUUUGUCAUUAGGGGUCCAUACUUCAGAGCGAUUGCGGUUGGUGGUUGCCAGAUUUUCGAUACCUCUGUCCUGGGGGCGGAGUUGAGGGCUUCCUGGAUUGGCCUAACGUAUGCCUGGCGCAUAUUGCAAGCCAAUAACUUAGUGCUUGAGGGCGACUCGGCUAUUGUCAUUGGUUGGAUCCAGUAGUGUGUGGGAGGGUAGGUGAUUACCAUCCGCUCCUUAGGAAUAUUCGGAAGAUGGGGAGGGGUGGGAUGGCCGUGUAGGCCAAGCAUGUAUAUCGAGAGGCCAACGGGGCAGCAGAUUGGGUAGCCUCCUAUGUGGCUAACCACUUUGGGGAGACUAUAGUUUGAGGAGUGGGGACUAUCCGCUGCACCCCGGGACUUGUUAUCUUUUGAUUUCUUUAGGUGUAUUCGUACUCAUUAUAUACGAUACAUCCGUUUCAGCAAAAAAAAAAGAAGCUUUGAAGCUGUAUGUCCUUGUUUUUUGGGAGCCCCCACCUCGUGGCCAUCUAAGGGUGAACUUUGAUGGUAGUUUGUCCGAUCGCGGAGGUUGCACUGGAGUUGAAUUUGUGAUCAGAGAUCACGAUUUCAGGCUGAUUGCAGUAGGGGGCGGCAUAUUAUAUUUUAUUAUAGUAUAAUUAUACUAUAUCAUAUAUUUAUAUAUUAAUAUUUUAUUAAUAUUUAUAUUAAAUGUAUUUAUUUAUAAUAUUUUAUAUCAAAAUAUUGUAUUAUACUAUAAAUAUAUUAUUAUUAUUAUUAAUCUCAUAAUAUAUUAAUAUGUUAUAUUAUAUAAUAUCAAAUUGUAGUAUAUUAUUAUGCCAUAGCAUACAAUAUUAUAUUAACUAUAUUUGAAUAAUAUAAUAUUAUAUUAUAUUAUAGCAAUAUUAUACUAUAUUAUAUAUUUAUGUAUUACUAUAUAUUAUAUUUUAUUAUACUCUAUUGUAUAAUACUAUAUAAUAUAUUUUUUAGUUAUUUUGUCGUACCAAAAAUAUUUUUUCAGUUUGCUUGCCAAAUAUAAAGUUAUAUGACACUUUAAAAAUAUUGUUACCAAGCAACAAAUAAUUCUUUAGAAUUAUAAAAAUUAUUUCAAAAAAUCUCGACUUUUAAAAGCUUUAUUUCUAAAAAUGCUCUGUUAGUUCUCGGAGAGAAAUCUUGGUAGGUAGGCAGGUUCUUAUACGUAACCCAAUCAACUUGAAGUGCCACCACAGAUGCGUCGUUUUCAUGCAUCCGAAUUCCCGACGGACCAAUUGCACCCCAUUUUUCUCAAUCCACCCUGUCACUUAUGCCGGGUAUGGCGGAAUCUCUUGGGCCGCAUAUAGCAAAGCGAAAACCAGAAGAGAGCGUAUGUGUAUCGAGAGCGAUCGAUCGAUCGAUCGAUCGAGAUGGAGACGGGCAGCGGUGAUAUCUGCACUCUGCCGGAGGGUUGCAUCUCCCACGUGAUCUCUCUGACGUCGCCGGCCGAUUCUUGCCGGUCGACGGCGGUCUGCACCACCUUCCUCUCCGCCGCCGUAUCCGACACCGUGUGGGAGCGCUUCCUGCCGCCCGAUUACCAGUCGAUCCUGUCGCGGGCCGUCCAUCCGGUGGAGUACUCGUCCAAGAAGGAGCUCUUCUUCCGCCUCUGCGAACCCAUCCUCAUCGACGACGGCAAAAUGGUACUUUACCACUAUUACUUCUACUCUUCCCUCCUCCUUCCUGUCUCCCCAUUUUCGAAUUUUAAUCGUAAUUUAUACCCAAAUCUAGGUUUUUUUUUUUUUUUUCCUCUUAAAGAUCAAUUCUUUAAAAUUAAUGAAAUCUGUGAUCGAUAUAUUCCGGACGUAAUUAGUGUCUCGCGGAUUUGGUUUCGCCUACAUGUCCUUGGAUAUACGCCAUCGAUUUGAUGGGCUUCAGCGGUUGUGAACCGUUAUUUUUUUUUUUUGGGAACAAAUUAUUUGGAUUCUGUCCCGCCGACGAUGUCGUCGGGCCAAUCACACGUUACCCGUGAAACCCAAAAUUUUGAUGGUGAGACGUACAUGCCGUUUGCUUGUUUAGAUAGGUAAAGCCGGCGUAGGUUGGCAACCUACUGCCGACUUUAUUCAGGUAUCAUCCCGUCGUAUUCACUCGGAGCCAUUAGGGAGUUGUCACCCGUGAUCUGUUUCUCGCGUUUAUUUCCACUCUUUUUUCCCCCGGCAAGAUAUCUUCUUUGCAGCAGCUUUGCCAAUGCCAAACGCUAAACUUGAUUUUGAUUUGCAGAGUUUCUCACUGGAUAAAUCGAGCGGUGCAAAGUGCUGCAUGCUGUCUGCCAGACAGCUGUUUAUUGUAUGGGGGGAUACUCCCCAUUAUUGGACGUGGCAUCCUCUACCCGAUUCCAGGUUUGUGCCUUCUUUCCUUCAUCUUUUGAUUGGUUGAUUAGUUGCUUGAUUCCCCUUUUUUGUUAUAUAUCUUUUGUUCAUAAAUAAAAUCGAGCGAGAAUUGAAGAUCGGCUGGAAUUAUAUUUUUGUAAUGCAAUAUAUAAUGAGCGACAAAGAACAAAUUGCAAACCACCUUUCUCUUUUGUUAUAGAAUUACAAGCGGUGUCUCCAUGUCAAGGCCUUGUGAUUGCUAGGACAGUCCUCUUUUUGAUUGGAGUCCUAGAUCUGACUGAGCUAGAUAUGGACUAAUUAUGUUCAUCAUGGCAAAUAAAUCAAUAUACUGGAGUCAUGCAGGUAAUUAUACACCAAAUCCAUUUCAAUAGAUAUGCAAGAACUGAUGUAUGUGGGGAGAUCAUUUUACUUUGUGCGGCUGAGGAUGGGGAUGAACCUCGAGCCGAAUUGUAUGAGCUCACUAGAGCAGCUAGAGGAUAUCCAAGUAAAUUGGGCACCCUGGAGGUGUUCCUUUUCAAGUUCCUUCGGCCUGCACACCUGCAAGGCUGGUAGCUUUUUUUUUCCUCCAUUUGAAGGAAUAAUCAGGCCGGCUGACGGCCACGCUUUGCCGCACAACCAGUGUCUUAGCAAGGCUUGCUGCCUUAAAAAUCGUAACUGUUUGGUUCUCAUGCAAGCAAUUUGGCUUGGUUAGUAAUUGAUAAUUGCCCUUGUCCUAUUUAGGCCUUUACCACCGGCCCUUUUAAACCUCUUGCUCUCCAAUUCAACUUGAGCUCGCAUCUCACUCCAAUUACAGAGAUGCAAUUGAAAUCCGCUAGAAUCUGUACAGUUUGUACAUGUGGUCCUGCUGGAAACAAAUUCAGCAUUGGAACCUUUUCAGAUGUUAAAACAACUUACCGUUGCUAUCCUUUUCAUAUUUUAUCUUUCUUAUAACACGAUGUGCAACAUAGUAAGCUAAUGGUCCUGUUUAUAUUUUGUUCUAUGAGCCAUAUAAUCAAUUUUGAUUAUUUUCAUGGAAUAAGGUGGUCUCUCUUCAUAAAUUAAUACAUAAGUACUGCAACAGUCAGUUUCUGAGCGUCACAAAUUAAGCAAUUCGUUAAUUGGUUGAUAUUAGAGAGUGGAGCAAAUAGAGUACUGAUUUUGGAACAGAUUUGCAACUGAGUUUUAUUCAAAAACUCUGCCUCCUUUGUUUAGCCUCAAAAGAUUUGGAUACUUAAUUUCAGCGUUGUUUUUUGUGCCUGAACCAUCAACGUUGUUCUUUUAUGACGACAUGUAGAUUUUCUCGCUCUAGCUUAGUGGUGCUAAGAAUAAAUGAACUUUUCUUUUUACUGUUGAAAUUGUUCGGAUUAUCUUUUACUGCUAUGGAUGUUAUCAUGUUGCAUUCCUGACUACAAGGUAACCUUCUCCUCCAAAAGGUUUUCAGAGGUUGCGGAGCUCAUAAAUGUUUGCUGGUUGGAUGUUGGAGGCACGAUUCAAAGCAGAGUGCUUACUCCUAAAACAAUCUAUGCCGCCUAUCUCAUCUUCAAAGUAGAUCAGAAUUCACGAGGUCUUGGGUUUCCGAAUCAGGAAACAACAGUGAAACUGGGAUCCCAGGUGUCCAAACAUACUGUGAAUUUACAACCCAUUGCUGCUAAGAGACUGAUGAGGACCAGAUUGCGUAUGCUGAAUCUGAUUUGGAAUGCCACGGAGGAGGGGCAUGCUGAUGCAGAGGAAAACCAGAUUGCAGCUAGAACCCCUCAGGCAAGGGCUGAUGGUUGGAUGGAGAUGGAGAUGGGGGAAUUCUACAAUGAUGACAGUGAGGAUGGGGAAGUGGAACUGAGUUUGAUGGAGGUGAAAAGAGGGAACUGGAAGUCUGGACUCACCAUCCAAGGCAUUGAGAUAAGGCCUAAGAAGUAGGCAGGAGCUCUUUUAUGUAUGGGCAUUUGGAUUGUCUUGACAACUAGAAGUAGAUUAGUCAUUAUAAAUAAUCAUGAAACGUGGUAUGCUUU